CCUACGGGUGGCAGCAGUGAGGAAUAUUGGUCAAUGGACGAGAGUCUGAACCAGCCAAGUAGCGUGAAGGAUGACUGCCCUAUGGGUUGUAAACUUCUUUUAUAUGGGAAUAAAACGUUCCACGUGUGGGAUUUUGUAUGUACUUUAUGAAUAAGGAUCGGCUAACUCCGUGCCAGCAGCCGCGGUAAUACGGAGGAUCCGAGCGUUAUCCGGAUUUAUUGGGUUUAAGGGGAGCGUAGGUGGAUUGUUAAGUCAGUUGUGAAAGUUUGCGGCUCAACCGUAAAAUUGCAGUUGAAACUGGCAGUCUUGAGUACAGUAGAGGUGGGCGGAAUUCGUGGUGUAGCGGUGAAAUGCUUAGAUAUCACGAAGAACUCCGAUUGCGAAGGCAGUUCACUGAACUGCAACUGACACUGAGGCUCGAAAGUGUGGGUAUCAAACAGGAUUAGAUACCCCGGUAGUC
rnacentral:rRNA from 1 species